rnacentral:tRNA from 1 species
CGGGGCGUAGCUCAGCCUGGUCUAGAGCGUCUGCAUGGGGUGCAGAAGGUCGCUAGUUCGAAUCUAGUCGCCCCGAC